ensembl:lncRNA
AAACGAUCCCGGUACAUUCCCUGUUGUUUGGCCCCUGGUCACUAGGUAACAGCAACGCGAAUCCAAGAAAAAACAUCCGGAAAAGAUCCCCGAUUGUUCUUCUGUUCGUUUAAACGAAGAACACCAGAAGACGCUUCUUUACGCAUCAGAAUUCCUGAGCGACAAAUCCACUAAAAGACAUGACGACGCAUUCUCUUCCUUUUUUAGAGAACAGUCCUGGUCAAAACCUCCAGGUGGGAAAUGGAGUAAACAACAUUUUUGUGACACAGUCGCAGGACAGCAGAAGGGAAGAUGAUGCCAAUCACAUACCAGUUUUAAAAGUGCCUUCGAGCAGAGUCUUGGAGGCAGGAGUGACUACUUUGCAAAAGACCCUGGUUCUGAAGAAACAGGCAGAGCUGGAUGAGGUGGAGAAGCGACUUGCACUUAAACGGCUGGAUUUUAAAGCCUGCAUGGAGGCCCUUGCUCAGCGAAGGUCUGAACUUGAAAUAAAACUACAAGAGACUAAAGAAAAAGUAGGGAAAUUUGAGAAGUUCGUAGCUGAGAAUGAAGCAAAGCAACGCAGAGCGUUAAAGAGCUGUGAAGCUUCACGGGUGCAAAACAUUUUUAAAAAGCAGCAGAUAAAAGAUUUGACAGAACAGCUUAAAGGAUUCAGAGACAGGAGGCAAGUUUUAAAGGAGAGAGUGGCAAAAUACAAAAUCUAUGAGGAUUAUUUGAUAAAAACACGAGAUUAUCUCCCCAGCAAUUACCUCGAUGACGGGUCUGAAUCUCUAGUCAUGCCCAUCAUUCGGCGUCAUGAGACCUUAUCCAUCACACACCAGGAGCUGCUGCAACGUUUGCAACGUAUGGAGGCGGAGGUGGAGGAAGGCCAGCGGCAGCUGCAGAAUAUGAAGGAGGAACACAGCGUAAAGAAACUGAUGGCCAAUAAAGAGCUGUCUGAACUGCAGAGUGAGUUAGAGACCCUCAAAGAGAAGAACAAGCAGGCAGAGGUUAACUUGCAGAUGGAGCAAGACUUAUCCAGAGAGAAGGUUACAGAAGUGGGAAGACUGCUUAUGGCCAUCAGCAACCUUGCAGAACAGUGUUACCUACCAGAAUACGGACCGCUGGAAAAGAUGAACGCGCUGACAAUGAUGGACAUGGUGAAGGAGUACAUUCUGGACAAGGUAGACACGGAGAGGAGAGCGAGGAGGAUGAUGGAGUUGGGGAGUUUGAUGACGAGCACAACCGCUGCGGCAAACAAAAGAGAGAGGGGGUCAAUGAGAAGCUUUGGAAGUAAAACACAAAUCAAAAGUUCAAGUAAAGUCAGCAGAAGGAGUGAGACAUUUGGUUGAUGUUGUAGUUUGAGUAUUCAUCACAGUGUUGUCUCUUAUGGUUUGUUGAGAGUGGAGGUUCGUUCUUGAGGUGGGAAGAAGCAUUUGCUACCACUUCGUAGCAAAUGAAGUGUUACCAAAACCUUGAGAAAAAAAAAGCUUGUAGGAGAACAUAAUGUUUUUUUUUCAUUAUUUGCCUUUAUAACAUUUGUUCAGUGUUUAAAAAAUGUGUGCAGCAACCUUUGCACUUAAGACGUCAUAGACAAGGAACUGAAAACGUAGCUGUUUGAAAUGAGAUCCUCAUGUUUAACAGGUCAUCCGAAGUUGUAAAUUUGGAUUUGGGCACAUUGUAUUGUGAAUGUUGCUUUUAUUUAAAAAAAAAAAAUAAAGUGGUCAUAAUCAAAUUAUGUAAAUGCUCACUCAAUCAACAGCAAUCCACCACCUUUGCAUCAUGCAAAACACC